UCGAGUUAGGGUCUUCCAAGGCCCGAACCUCCAACCCUUGUGUUUAACUAUACCACGUUGCUUCGGCGGGCCCGCCUGUUCGCAGGCCGCCGGACCUCCUCACCGAGGUCUGGUCCGUUGCCCGUCGAUAGCCCAACCACAAAACUCUUGAAUCAAAACCGUGUCGUCUGAGUUACAAAACAAAAAAUUAAAACA
rnacentral:misc_RNA from 1 species